UUAAGUUCAGCGGGUAUCCCUACCUGAUCCGAGGUCAAAAUAAGAAGGGGCUUCUGGAUGCCGACAGAGGGACCUCGACGCGCGUAUUCUGCUGCGCACGAAGCCGAUCCGCCGGCUGCCAAUACUUUGAGGCGAGUCCACGCGCGGGGCGGGACAAACACCCAACACCAAGCAGAGCUUGAAGGUUUAAAUGACGCUCG
rnacentral:misc_RNA from 1 species